GCCAAACGCUCAAGUGUUGCUGAAGUGUGUCGUGUUUUAUGAGUUUUAUUAUAAUCAAGUUCGCAAUUAUUUCAAAGUUUUCGUGCAUAAUCUGUGAUCUUGGUGCUUCGUUACUCCGCUGAAUUUUCAAAUUCACAUUCAAUCGUAAGUAUUUUCCCUCCUACUUAGAACUGAUGUGCAUGUAAAUGUGAGCCUCAUCCUCUGAGGUGGGUUUUCCGCCUAGUUUUUAGCACAUUAAUGCUUCCCUACCGAAUUUAAUGCAUUAAAAUCAAGUAUUUUCCGUCAUAUCAACUAAUUUAUUUGUGAAUGUAAGCCUCAUCCACCCUGAAAUGGUGAAGCAAGGUCUGCUGUUGAUUGGUGACUCCCAAACCAAAGAUUUUGAUAAGUUCCUGUGCCUGUCUGAUAAGUUCGAUGUUACUGUCAUCAGUAAAUCUGGUCUGAAACUAGAAGAUGUGGAUAAAGACAUGCUGAAAGCCACAGAAUUUUUUAGUCAAGUUGUUCUUCAUGUCGCCACCAAUAAUAUUCCAGUUGAUUCUGCUGAUGUCAAUAAGGAAAAGGCACAAAAUCUUGUCGACCAAAUUCUAAGGAAGAACUCAUCAAUUCAGAUUUAUAUUUCCGGCAUCUUACCCAGAGGACAGAACUGUUUCGUCAAAAACGAUGAUUCUAUUGGUGUCAGAUCAAUUAACUCGCUAGUCGCUAAGUCUGUCAAUGAGACUUCGCAAAAACUGCAUACAAUAUGGAGUGAACGUAACUUCUUCUUUUGUAACUUGUGUUCACAACUUUAUGGACGGUGCAUUAAAUGACAUCGAGAUUAAGCUCAAAUGCAGUUUUCCAGCUCAGUCCUUAAAAUGGAUGCGCCAAACUUUGCAGAGCAAUAUUAAUUCAACACCUAAUGUUUGAUGUAAUGUUGGCAACAGAAAACUGAGAUUGCAAACCAUGUUUCGACAGACUGAGUGUACUUUCCCUUUUUGUCGGCAACAGUAACCAUCUGGUACGCAAAAAUAAUCAAUAUCAUUCAUCAAUACAUUUUUUAAUAAUACCUACAGAAAUCAAUAAAAAACUAUACCUGUUACGUCCGAAAAUGAAAAGUCAAGGCUGCCAAUUUGAGCUUUGUUAUCGAACAUCAAAGAUUAGAAAUUAUUGGCUUUUUUUGUUACUAUAUGUGCAUUGUUUUUGGACAAAUUUUAAUACAUUUUUUUUAAACCAUAUUUUGGUGAAAAAUCACUUAACAAAUGGAGAGUUCUAAAUUGAAGCUGAAAAAGCGUCAUCUUGAUUUACUGUUUAUAAAUGUAAUCGGAAAAUAUUUGACUGAAGUAGUAUGUAUCUUGGCACGACGAGUUCAGAGGAUGGAAGAGGGAAAAGAGAGGGAUGUAUUAACCACACCAUACGGAGAGGUAAAACCAUUUCUGUGUUUCCUUACGUGAGUUCAGCCGCUGUAUGACAGUGUGUCUGUCAAUUUGCUAAAUACCCUUUGCUGGUACCCGUUCUUAAAUUUGUCUAUCUUAAUUUGUUUCAGGCGUUUUUUGCAUGGAUCAAGAAACUUUUUGCAAUUCGAUGGUUCCAUUGAGCAGCAUUUGCUGUCACAGGAUAGUCUUCACCUUUCUCAUCCUCAGAGCUUAAUUCAUAGGAAUGUAAACGGAGGUGGCUCCACAGAGACUCAUCUUUACCCCCGAACUUGUGAUGUGUGUCACAAAAUUUACGCCUCCAAACAAUCAUAUUAUGCUCAUAUUAGAUUAAACAGAUGUGCACCAAAGCCGAACGAUGUGAAGGAAGCAGAAACUUCCAAUAAAUUUAAGAAUUGUAAUAAUAAGUCUUGUAAUUUUAAGCAUGUUAACCUCCCACAAUUAUUAGAGCACCUUGAUGAGGGUUGCCCAGAUAGUGAUUGCCAAAAAACUAAUGAAGAAAUCAUUCCAAAAGCUGAUCCUGUAACCACGGGAAGUUUGAUAGUUUGCCCCGAUUGUUCCUCCGCUUAUUCAAAUAGUAGUUCCUACAGUAAACAUUUUAAAACCUGCCUCAACACCGCAGUGCAAUUCACAAAGUGCAUCGAACCUUCUUGUAGUAUUA
rnacentral:lncRNA from 1 species